GGCAAAAGCGGUUAUAUGAACUGACGCUAAAACCUAUAGUGACAGACUUCUACUGCCAGUGUAAGUCCUACAGGUAAAAAUCUUUAGCGUCAGAUAGUACCUUUAGAGACAGAUCGUCUGACGCUUUGAAAAUAUAUAGCGACAGAAAGUCUGUUGCCAAGUUUCAGCGACAAAUGAUCCAUUACCAAGCAUAUAUCGACAGAUCAUCCAACAAUCCAUGUAUUUAUAGCGUUGGAUCGUUCAAUAAGACAAUAUAAAUAUUAAAAAAAACAAUGAAAAAACAUGCAGCCC
rnacentral:lncRNA from 1 species